CCUACGGGUGGCAGCAGUGGGGAAUAUUGGGCAAUGGGCGCAAGCCUGACCCAGCAACGCCGCGUGAAGGAAGAAGGCUUUCGGGUUGUAAACUUCUUUUCUCAGGGACGAAGAAAGUGACGGUACCUGAGGAAUAAGCCACGGAUAACUACGUGCCAGCAGCCGCGGUAAUACGUAGGUGGCAAGCGUUAUCCGGAUUUACUGGGUGUAAAGGGCGUGUAGGCGGGACUGUAAGUCAGAUGUGAAAACCACGGGCUCAACCUGUGGCCUGCAUUUGAAAUUGUAGUGCUUGAGUGCUGGAGAGGCAGACGGAAUUCCUAGGGUAGCGGUGAAAUGCGUAGAUAUUAGGAGGAACACCAGUGGCGAAGGCGGUCUGCUGGACAGUAACUGACGCUGAGGCGCGAAAGCGUGGGGAGCAAACAGGAUUAGAUACCCGGGUAGUC
rnacentral:rRNA from 1 species